UCAGGCCUUUAUCGAAGCCAUGCUUGCUUGCUUUUGUAGCUGAUGUGGUGAAAAAGGAGCAGAGACUUUUUCUUUGACUGUCACAGUUCAGGUUCAAUGCAGUACCUGAGUGACAACAUUGGUAAGAAAAGACAGGA